rfam:Camelus ferus unplaced genomic scaffold scaffold1394, whole genome shotgun sequence.
GAGGGUAUAGUUCAGUGGUAGAGUGUAAGCUUAGCACGCAUGACGUCCUGGGUUCAAUCCCCAGUAUCUCCA